rnacentral:misc_RNA from 1 species
GGUGUUCCUCACUAGUGUUGGAUCGCUCCUGAUUUCGGCGUCGAUGAUUGGACUUGCCAUUGUGUGCAUUCACGGUGCGUUUAGGGUUCCAGAGGAUCUCUUCCUUGACGACCAAGAGCCUGUAAAUGGAGGAUUCCUGUCAUUUCUUGGUGGCGCCGCUUCCGCUGCUUCAGCCGCAGGUCCUGCAAUUGCAGCGCGUGUAUAGCCAGAUCCUGAUCGGCGCCUGAUGAACGAACUGAUGGCAGUUUGAUUAUGGGUUAGGCUUACCUGUUGUACUCUCUUCAGUUUGAAUUCUUGUGAUCUGUAAGAACUGGAUUAGGGUUUGUUCUCUCAUAAUGUAGAUUGUAUCUGAAGAUGCCGCAAAUUUAUAUAUCAAAUUUUUGUUUAGUUGCGC